ACGGGUGAGUAACACGUAUGCAAUCCACCUGUAACAGGGGGAGUAACCCGGAGAAAUCCGGACUAAUACCCAUAAUAUGGGCGCUCCGCAUGGAGAGUCCAUUAAAGAGAGCAAUCUUGGUUACAGACGAGCAUGCGCUCCAUUAGCCAGUUGGCGGGGUAACGGCCCACCAAGGCGACGAUGGAUAGGGGUUCUGAGAGGAAGGUCCCCCACAUUGGAACUGAGACACGGUCCAA
rnacentral:rRNA from 1 species